rnacentral:lncRNA from 1 species
AAGUUCCUGUUAUAAAUCCCUGCUCUCAGAAUCUGAUUUUGGAAAAAAUUCCAUUUGAAGUUGAUUGGAAAAGGAAUGUCCCUCCUCAUAUUUCUUUCUUUUUCUUGGGAGGCUUCUAGAAAGAAGAAACCCUUAACAUGAAGAAUCCAAGAAAGCUGUAGUAUUAUGGAUAACUGCUGCACUUCAUCUUUUCUAUUGUGUCCAUGGCCAUACUACUCCAGAACACUGCCUCCAGGUUUCUUGGCAUCAGUUGGGUGAUGAUGGAUUUAGUGGCCUUCAAACUUUGGGUUUGGAAUGUUUUUUUGCUCAUGAAAGGUGGAAGAGGGUUACAUCUCUCAUUCCUCUUAACUAUUUUUUGGGUAUUUGAGGAUUUUUAUAGGAAUAUGGAAUGUUGGUUCCAGAACUUAUGCAGCUCAUGAAUGAAUCAUCCCUUUUACAGUGGGAUUUUAGAUAUUUUUACUUCUCUUCUAGUAAAUUCAACUUUGAAAGGGGAUGAUGCACAUUCAACACCUCAUAAAUGUAUUAACUUCUACUUUUCUUUAAAAAAUUAUUGUUUGAAUUGAAUAUUUUUUCUUCAAAAUUCAAUAACUGAAAGACCUCACACCCCAACAAUUCAGGACUUGUGCCUCACCCUUCAAAAACAUUGUAACUUGAACUAAUUGACACACUAAGUUCCUCAAGACUUAUAUCUAUGCUUUAUGGAUCAAAAGAGUUAGGAAGCCUGCUUUGAACAGCCAAUUAUUUAUCAAUGACAAUAAGGCUGUGCUUACAUUAGGAUUACCUAUCUACACCCAAUCAAACUAAGACAUUAGUAGUUGUUUCAACUAUAUGUAAGACCCUUACAAUUGCUUAGUCAAUAACAAAUUUCUUCUUGUUAUGUGGAGUUUUAUAUGAAAUUUUUUUGAAGAGAAUUUAUUUGGAACUUAGUUUCCCAAGAAGAGAACAUACAAAUAUUCUAAAGACUAGAAGAAAAUGAUAUUAAUAACCUGCUUUUCAAGCUCUCUAGCCCUGGCUUCGGCUUCCUCACGUCUUUCUUCUGCUUGGCGAAGCUACACCAAAAUUUAAGGAAGAAAUGUUAUACAUCGCAUGUACAAAGAGCACAGUCACAGUUUAUUUGGAAAGAAAAAAUUACAUAUAAAAAGGAUGUGCUAGUUGAGAACAGUUUCAAGUCAGAAAUAGUGCACCUUAUCCAAUAUAACCUCAUUCUCCUCUUGCAGCAUGUCCAGCUGCAAUUAGUCAAUGGUAAACUCCAAUAAAUUUUUUUUUUUAAAAAAUAAGUAAACUCCAGUCAAUAUAACUU